ACAACAUUAGACCGUCGGUUUACCAAACUAUUUCACCCGCUUGAUGUAAAAUCUUCUUUUUGUCGU
rnacentral:pre_miRNA from 1 species